ACCAGACUCCUACGGGAGGCAGCAGUGGGGAAUAUUGGACAAUGGGGGGAACCCUGAUCCAGCGACGCCGCGUGAGUGAAGAAGUAUUUCGGUAUGUAAAGCCCUAUCGGCAGGGAAGAAACAGACGGUACCUGACUAAGAAGCCCCGGCUAACUACGUGCCAGCAGCCGCGGGAAUACGUAGGGGGCAAGCGUUAUCCGGAUUCACUGGGUGUAAAGGGAGCGUAGACGGCGACGCAAGUCUGGAGUGAAAGCCCGGGGCCCAGCCCCGGGGCUGCUCUUGGAACUGCGUGGCUGGAGUGCAGGAGGGGCAGGCGGAAUUCCUGGUGUAGCGGUGAAAUGCGUAGAUAUCAGGAGGAACACCGGUGGCGGAGGCGGCCUGCUGGACUGCAACUGACGUUGAGGCCCGAAAGCGUGGGGAGCAAACAGGAUUAGAUCCCCCAGUA
rnacentral:rRNA from 1 species